ensembl:misc_RNA Vault Vault RNA
GGGCUGGCCUUAGCUCAGCGGUUCCUUCUAGUCAAGCCUUUGCCAACCACUCUUGCUAGUGAGGGUGGUUUGAGACCUGUGGGCACCCUCCAGCCUUUUU